UACGUAGGGCGCAAGCGUUAUCCGGAAUUAUUGGGCGUAAAGAGCUCGUAGGCGGUUUGUCGCGUCUGCCGUGAAAGUCCGGGGCUCAACUCCGGAUCUGCGGUGGGUACGGGCAGACUAGAGUGCGGUAGGGGAGAUUGGAAUUCCUGGUGUAGCGGUGGAAUGCGCAGAUAUCAGGAGGAACACCGAUGGCGAAGGCAGAUCUCUGGGCCGUAACUGACGCUGAGGAGCGAAAGUGUGGGGAGCGAACAGG
rnacentral:rRNA from 1 species